rnacentral:rRNA from 1 species
GAACGCAGCGAAAUGCGAUACGUAAUGUGAAUUGCAGAACUCAGUGAAUCAUCGAAUUUUCGAACGCAUAUUGCGCUUCAGGGUAGUCCUUGAAGCAUACUUGUUUGAGUGUC